UCUGUGGACCCAAGACUUCGUUGACGGGCAAAUAUGGAACCCUGCAACAAGGACUGUAGUGUGAAUAGCGUGCUGCGCUGCUCUCGCCAACUGAAAAGAACUCUGGUAAGAUGCAUGCUUGGUUAUGAAAGUCUCACGCAAUCGCUUUUCACAUUGAAUUUGGUCGCAGGUGUGCUGUAAAUGCCGACUGCACAAUAUGUGACUGGCCCGCGGCUGCUUUGAAGGUAAGAUUGUGUUCUCAUUAAUCUAUUUAUUGUACCAUUUGUUUUCCAGUGACAUAGCCAACAACGAAAACCUCGAUCCAUCCUCUCUCCACAUAUUAUCUAGUUUGUGCGCUGUGGAGCUUGAAGCACUUCUCGGAAUUUCAGCACACUCGCAUUUAUUUUUUUCCCGACAGAAGAAAAAUGCAAGUCUAACAUCUCGACGGUAAAACGUCGCAUCUGCGCACGUGUUCAGGGCCAAGAGCACGAGAAGUGGCCGAAAGAAGGGAGCCGAUCCAACAGGAAUGCCGUCCGUCUUUAUAUUUAUAUGUGUCAGCGUUAUCAUGCCGUGAUCACAUGGACUGUACGGUUGCGUUGCAC